AUUGAACGCUGGCGGCGUGCUUAACACAUGCAAGUCGAACGAAGUGGCGUACGGGUGAGUAACGCGUAAUCAACCUGCCCUUCAGAGGGGGACAACAGUUGGAAACGACUGCUAAUACCGCAUACUCAAGGAGGGGAUUCCGUCUGAUUAGCUGGUUGGAGGGGUAACGGCCAACCAAGGCGAUGAUAAGUAGCCGGUGUGAAAGAAUGAACGGCCACAAGUGAACUGAGACACGGCCCAGACUCCUACGGGAGGCAGCAGGGGGGAAUCUGCCGCAAUGAACGAAAGUCUGACGGGGCAACGCCGCGUGAGUGAUGACGGCCUUCGGGUUGUAAAGCUCUGUUAAUCGGGACGCGGUACCGGAAUAGAAAGCCACGGCUAACUACGUGCCAGCAGCCGCGGUAAUUC
rnacentral:rRNA from 1 species